CAGCCGCCGCGGUAAAACCAGCACCUCAAGUGGUCAGGAUGAUUAUUGGGCCUAAAGCAUCCGUAGCUCGUUUUGUAAGUUUUCGGUUAAAUCCAUACGCUUAACGUAUGGGCUGCCGGGAAUACUGCAUAGCUAGGAAGUGGGAGAGGUAGACGGUACUCGGUAGGAAGGGGUAAAAUCCUUUGAUCUAUUGAUGACCACCUGUGGCGAAGGCGGUCUACCAGAACACGUUCGACGGUGAGGGAUGAAAGCUGGGGGAGCAAACCGGAUUAGAUACCCGGGUAGUCCCAGCUGUAAACUAUGCAAACUCAGUGAUGCAUUGGCUUGUGGCCAAUGCAGUGCUGCAGGGAAGCCGUUAAGUUUGCCGCCUGGGAAGUACGUACGCAAGUAUGAAACUUAAAGGAAUUGGCGGGGGAGCAC
rnacentral:rRNA from 2 species